rnacentral:rRNA from 1 species
GAUCAUGGCUCAGAUUGAACGCUGGCGGCAUGCCUUACACAUGCAAGUCGAGCGGCAGCGCGGGGCAACCUGGCGGCGAGCGGCGAACGGGUGAGUAAUGCAUCGGAACGUACCCAGUCGUGGGGGAUAACUGUCCGAAAGGACAGCUAAUACCGCAUACGUCCUGAGGGAGAAANCGGGGGGAUCGCAAGACCUCGCGCGAUUGGAGCGGCCGAUGCCGGAUUAGCUAGUUGGUAGGGUAAAGGCCUACCAAGGCGACGAUCCGUAGCUGGUCUGAGAGGACGACCAGCCACACUGGAACUGAGACACGGUCCAGACUCCUACGGGAGGCAGCAGUGGGGAAUUUUGGACAAUGGGCGCAAGCCUGAUCCAGCCAUGCCGCGUGAGUGAAGAAGGCCUUCGGGUUGUAAAGCUCUUUCAGCCGGGAAGAAAACGCAUGGGUUAAUACCCUGUGUGGAUGACGGUACCGGAAUAAGAAGCACCGGCUAACUACGUG